CCUACGGGUGGCUGCAGUGGGGAAUAUUGGACAAUGGGCGAAAGCCUGAUCCAGCCAUGCCGCGUGUGUGAAGAAGGCCUUCGGGUUGUAAAGCACUUUCAGUGGGGAAGAAAGCCUUGGGGCUAAUACCCUCGAGGAAGGACAUCACCCACAGAAGAAGCACCGGCUAACUCCGUGCACAGCAGCCGCGGUAAUACGGAGGGUGCGAGCGUUAAUCGGAAUUACUGGGCGUAAAGCGCGCGCAGGCGGUCUGAUAAGCCGGUUGUGAAAGCCCCGGGCUCAACCUGGGAACGGCAUCCGGAACUGUCAGGCUAGAGUGCAGGAGAGGAAGGUAGAAUUCCCGGUGUAGCGGUGAAAUGCGUAGAGAUCGGGAGGAAUACCAGUGGCGAAGGCGGCCUUCUGGACUGACACUGACGCUGAGGUGCGAAAGCGUGGGUAGCAAACAGGAUUAGAUACCCGUGUAGUC
rnacentral:rRNA from 1 species